rnacentral:snoRNA from 1 species
GUGGCGACUCCUUCCGCUUAUGAGAGGUGAUUUAAAUACGCUAAUCGA